rnacentral:piRNA from 1 species
UAGCAGGCAGAUCUCUUGUGAGU